rnacentral:rRNA from 1 species
GACAGAGGGUGCAAACGUUGCUCGGAAUCACUGGGCGUAAAGGGCGUGUAGGCGGGAAGGAAAGUCAGAUGUGAAAUCCCCAGGCUCAACCUGGGAACUGCAUUUGAAACUCCCUUUCUUGAGUACCGGAGAGGAAAGUGGCAUUCCUGGUGUAGAGGUGAAAUUCGUAGAUAUCAGGAGGAACACCAGUGGCGAAGGCGGCUUUCUGGACGGUAACUGACGCUGAGACGCGAAAGCGUGGGGAGCAAACAGG